rnacentral:rRNA from 1 species
AUUGAACGCUGGCGGCAGGCCUAACACAUGCAAGUCGAGCGGAGCGGCGGACGGGUGAGUAAUGACUAGGAAUCUGCCUGGUAGUGGGGGCUAACGUCCGGAAACGGGCGCUAAUACCGCAUACUAUCAGAUGAGUCUAGGUCGGAUUAGCUAGUUGUUGGGGUAAAGGCCUACCAAGGCGACGAUCCGUAACUGGACUGAGAGGAUGAUCAGUCACACUGGAACUGAGACACGGUCCAGACUCCUAGGGGAGGCAGCAGUGGGGAAUAUUGGACAAUGGGCGAAAGCCUGAUGGAGCAAUGCCGCGUGUGUGAAGAAGGUCUUCGGAUUGUAAAGCACUUUAAGUUGGGAGGCGUUACCAACAGAAUAAGCACCGGCUAACUACGUGCCAGCAGCCGCGGUAAUAC